CAGCACAGAACCUGAUGCUGGGCUUGAACCCAUGAACUGCGAGAUCAUGAUCCGGGCCGAAGUCAGACGCUUAACCGACUGAGCCACCCAGGCACCCUGAAAAUCAGCCUUUUGAAAAGCUCCACUCCCACCCAUCAUUUUGCCACUGCUUCAGGACUCCAGUCUGAGAAACUGGUCUAGAGAGGGUCCUCAGGAGGCAUUUGUUGAUGGUAGACUGGUUCCUGGAUGGGCCCUCCUCAGGGCCCAGGCCCUGCUCUGCCUCAGGUCUUCAAGAUUCAUCCACUGGCAUAGGUGGGCCCAGUACCCAGUUUAGGAGUUUACUCAUCCUGAUUUCAUUGGGGACGGUAACUGUGGUGGAACAGCGAACACUAAGAACAAAGCACUGGAUGAUUUGGUUUGAGUCAAUGUGCCAGGCCUCAGCCUCCACUAGCUGCUCUCCAGCCCUGGGAGAGGCAUAAAGGGGAGUGUGGGGAAGCUCUGGGAGGUGCCCUUCAUCUAGAGGGAGGUCAGCCCUCCAAACUCCUGUCCACCCACACUGGCCACCCCGCCUGCAGCCACCAUGCCCCAGGGCCAUGCCCAGAGCAGGACAGGCUCCCUCCCCAUCCAGCCCCCUCCAGGUAUCUAGGGAUGACAGUGGAUUUUUGUAUCUCAGCAUGAGUGCAAGGAAGCCCUCCCCCCAUGGGCUCAGAGAACCUUCUGGGAACUAUUCAAAGCUGCCAGAAGUCGGUUUUUCUUAUUGGAAGCACCUCUUGAGAGUUUACAUUUAUAAAGCCUGGCAAAAUACAUUCUGAAGAACCCAAAUUAUUUUGCAAAGAUGAGGUGAAAAGGGGCCAUAGCAUCCCACAGAUGGGCUCCCUCUGGAGAGAAGCUACUUAUCCACAGUGGUUCCCCCUCUGCCACCCUGGACAUCCCACUCCCCAUUCAGAUGGCCCAGCCCUGCCAGAGGGUGUCAUGGUAAGAGAAAGAAAAGAAAAAAAGAGAAAAAAGGAAAAAUGCCAGUCUUCACCUCUGUCUAUUGUACACCAUGUCAUCCGAGGAGAAUUCUACUGCACUCCUUCCUUGACUGUGCUCUUUAUAUUCUGUAAGCCACUUCCUGUUUCCAUUUCUGGGUCAUAAGCCAAGCUUACAGUUGGUAUGAUUCACUCAGCCAGGAGGCCCAGCUAUUAUCACCCCUCAGAGAUCAUGGCUGCCUCUCAGGGAAGGAUCAGAGGAUACAACUUGGAAAGACAAGAUAUCGGUUCAUUCUUAGGAAAACAUAUGAAUUUUCCUAGGCUUUUUGGAAUGCUUCAUGCCUAGGACCAGAAGGUUGGCAUGCCUGAAAAAUCUGUGACUUGAUUGGUUUGCAUUUUUCUGCUGUACUGAUGCCCAGCUCCUCAGCUCCUUGGAGAGACUUUUUGCAAAGACCUCACUGGACGCUUUGCUUUGCCAAGGGGUCAGGCCUGCCAGGCAAUCUUCAGGCAGCAGCUGGUAGUCCCUGAGGAAGACAUGAACAAGAAGCCAUUUGAAAGCAUUAUCUUCUAGAAACUAAAUUUCAAAACAAGGAAGAAACCACAGCUCAGAUGGAAACUGCAUUUCCCGCCUCUGUUGAGUUAGGAGUGGUCAUGUGACUGAGUUUCAGACAACUGAAAAGUGGGCAGAAGAAGUGAUCUGAAAUCAGAGGAUCCGCUGAAGAACUCCAAGUCACUGCCAGAUGGAAAGCCAUCAUAUGAAUAAAUUCUGUUUCCAGAGGACUGGGUAGAGCUCCUUCCACCCCUACCAACCAGAUGACCUAUACUGAACUGUAAUAAAA